rnacentral:rRNA from 1 species
UUAGGAAUUUUGGGCAAUGGGCGCAAGCCUGACCCAGCAACGCCGCGUGGGUGACGAAGGCCUUCGGGUUGUAAAGCCCUUUUCUGGGGGAAGAUGAUGACGGUACCCCAGGAAGAAGCACCGGCUAACUACGUGCCAGCAGCCGCGGUAAUACGUAGGGUGCAAGCGUUGCCCGGAUUUAUUGGGCGUAAAGGGCGCGCAGGCGGCUGCGCACGUUCGCUGUGAAAGCUCCCGGGCUCAACUGGGAGAGGUCGGCGGAUACGGCGCAGCUGGAGCUCGGUAGGGGGUCGUGGAAUUCCCGGUGUAGUGGUGGAAUGCGUAGAUAUCGGGAGGAACACCAGUGGCGAAGGCGGCGACCUGGACCGAAGCUGACGCUGAGGCGCGAAAGCGUGGGGAGCGAUCCGGAUUAGAUACCCGGGUAGUCCACGCCGUAAACGAUGCACACUAGGUGUCGGGGGUAUCGACCCCCUCGGCGCCGCAGCUAACGCAUUAAGUGUGCCGCCUGGGGACUACGGCCGCAAGGCUAAAACUCAAA